CCGUGGCAGGAGGAGCCAUUGACAUCGCCGGAGCCUCCACUCGCCCAGUCCCGCAAACUCAAAGGGAAAGGAAAAACCCCAAGAGGAAUUAUCUUUUGUAUCUGGUCCCCUCAGCAUAAUCUGUCCCCAAGGAAAACGCGUUUUUAUUCCCUAGCUUUUGUUGUGAAGACGGAAAAAGUACCCUUUCUCAAUUCGCUCGGCUCUCCUUUUGUUUACCAUUUUAUGUAUAUGGUAAAACUGGCAAUUUACCUGG